UACGAAGGGUGCAAACGUUGCUCGGAAUUAUUGGGCGUAAAGCGCACGUAGGCGGCAUUGCAAGUCGGAUGUGAAAUCCCUCGGCUUAACCAAGGAAGUGCAUCCGAAACUGCAGUGCUUGAGUACUUAAGAGGAUCGCGGAAUUCCCGGUGUAGAGGUGAAAUUCGUAGAUAUCGAGAGGAACACCUGCGGCGAAGGCGGGUUGCUGGGCUGAUACUGACGCUGAGGUGCGAAAGCGUGGGGAGCAAACAGG
rnacentral:rRNA from 1 species